GAUUCUUCCCUGGGCGCAGUGGCAAUGGGCAGGCUCCCCUGAGGGCUGCCCCACUGCCCUCCAUUCAUUGGACACUGCUGCCACGGCCAGCUGUGUCCCAGCAGUGCCAUGCCAACAUGGACCUGGGCAGUCAGCUGUGCUCUCUGUCCAGGGGUCAACCCUCCUGGAUUACUGAUGUCUGCAGUCCUCUGACGUCACCUCAGAUCCUGUGACUUGCCCUGCCCCACUUAAGAGGCCAUUGUCAGAAGACUUUGACCUGCCCUCAGAUGCUCCUGGGUAGUGAGUUAGACACGUCAGGUGCCCGUGAAUGGUGGGAAGGCUUGGAGGCUGGCUUGAGGCUGGGGCUGGGGUACCACUUUGCCCUGCAUGGCUGGCUCUGGACCUAAGAGCAAUGAGUCACACCACCAUUCAGGCAGCGGCGAGGAGAGAGGGCAGGCAUGGGAACUGGGUCUUACUGGUGCUGGGUGAUCAGAUAGAAGAAAACCCUAGUUUUAACAUGCAUUUCUCUCAUUUUGUCAUUUGUGCGCAUUCUACGCCAUUCCUGACCCAGGUGUGUUCCACAACUGGCUGAACGCCCGAAUCUCACGUCUCAGAGGAAGGACGCCUCUUCUUGAGACCACCGGAAUGAAACAGGCGACGUCUAAUCUGACCACCGGUCAGCGUGGAGGAGGACCAGGACGCCUCGCUGGCAGAGUCUCAGAGCCUGCAGACCUCGGCAGUGCCGCUUGCCUCUCCAUUUGCAGGGGUCUCACCCCACUUCUCAGCCUCCUCCUCACCACCCACCCACCCUCUUCGCUGUGAGAGCUCUUCUCUCCUAAUCCUCCUGCUGACAGCCCAGCUCAGCCCCAUUAAGCGCAGAGGGAACAGACCGAGGCCACAUCAUUUCUUCUUUCAAAGAAACCCCAAACCAAUACGCCCUUCAGGCGCCCUGGCUGUACGCUGGGCCAUUCCGUAGCCUGCCUCCUUCCUCCCAGCCAGCAGGGCCGCAGGUUGGCCCCCAUCCAGGAGAGGGCUGUUAGUCACAGAGGUGAGUGCCACAGGUGCCGUACACACCUGGGCUGGUGCUGGGACUAGUUCUAGCUGCUGGGAAUUCCCUCUGGGGAGAGGAAAGCAAGAAUGUUGACUUGUAUUUGCAUAAACAAACACCAGCAGCCGGUGUCAAUGACUGCCUAUGGCCGAGGGGAUGGGAGGAAGGAGAGGGGGAGCAUUUUCAAGGUGUAUCCUUGGGUACUACCUUGAUAGUAGGACCAUCUGGACACAGUGUCUAAAUCUGAAAACGAGUGAGAUGACAUUUCAACUGUCCAUCCCUUCUCCCCCCACUUAGAUGAAGAAGUGCUUCUCAGAGUAGACGGGCUUGAUGGCCACGCUGAAACGGUUCCUAAUCCAGAGUGUGCGUGGGCUUUAUUUUCCAUAAAGAGAAUCAAUUUCAAUGACAUAAAGAGGAAAAAGAAUUCUUUCUG